rnacentral:rRNA from 1 species
AUUGAACGCUGGCGGCAUGCCUUACACAUGCAAGUCGAACGGUAACGCGGGGCAACCUGGCGACGAGUGGCGAACGGGUGAGUAAUGCAUCGGAACGUGCCCAGGAGGGGGGGAUAGCCCGGCGAAAGCCGGAUUAAUACCGCAUACGACCUACGGGUGAAAGCGGGGGAUCGCCAGACCUCGCGCUAUUGGAGCGGCCGAUGUCGGAUUAGGUAGUUGGGGGGGUAAAGGCCUACCAAGCCUACGAUCUGUAGCUGGUCUGAGAGGACGACCAGCCACACUGGGACUGAGACACGGCCCAGACUCCUACGGGAGGCAGCAGUGGGGAAUUUUGGACAAUGGGGGCAACCCUGAUCCAGCCAUGCCGCGUGCGGGAAGAAGGCCUUCGGGUUGUAAACCGCUUUUGUCGGGGAAGAAAUCCUCCGGGCUAAUACCCCGGGGGGAUGACGGUACCCGGAGAAUAAGCACCGGCUAACUACGUGCCAGCCGCCGCGGUAAAAC